GUAGGCGAAGGCUUUGCAUCCAAAGACUCUAGUCUGGGCCCAUAACCUGUUGGCAUGUGGUGAUGAAAUACCAUAGGUGUGCAGUGGGAGGUCUCAUACAUAAAAGAUCAUCACGGGAGUUACCUUGCAAUCAGACAGGAUGAGUCUUGUAAAGAACUCACAUGGGAAAGGAAGAAGAAGCAAGUACAUGAAUAUAUAG